GUACUGCUGAGGAGUCCCAAAAUGGAACGAAACAGCUGUCCAGUAC
rnacentral:hammerhead_ribozyme from 1 species